GCUGAGGCGGAGAGAAGCGAGUUGCCGGUGCAAAAUAUCUAAAUUUUUAAGGAGAAGAGCCACGAGUGACACAUGGAGGAGUCCCAGAGGCUUAGUGGUAUAGAUCCACUGUCUCUUUUGGGUAUUUAAUUUAUGAUUUAUAAUGUGUUAUAUUGCCAAUAUUAGGGCUUUUUGUUUAUUGUCAAUUAUAUGAAUAUAUAAAUGUAAUCAUGCCUUUCAAACUAUUUCUAUUUUUAGUACAA